GCGAAAACUUUACAAUGCUGGCAACAGCGAUAAGGGAACCUCGGGUGCCAGGUUACAAAUCUGGCUGUCGAGAUGCCUAAAAAGCAUUUCAUAGCGAGGGCCGGGCAAGACCGGUGCCAGCCGCCGCGGUAACACCGGCGGCUCGAGUGGUAACCGUUAUUAUUGGGUCUAAAGGGUCUGUAGCCGGCCGGAUAAGUCUCUUGAGAAAUCUGGCGGCUUAACUGUCAGGCUUUCAGGAGAUACUGUCUGGCUCGAGGCCGGGAGAGGUGAGAGGUACUUCAGGUGUAGGGGUGAAAUCUUGUAAUCCUUGAAGGACCACUAGUGGCGAAGGCGUCCCACCAGAACGGACCUGACGGCAAGGGACGAAAGCUAGGGGCACGAACC
rnacentral:rRNA from 1 species